AACGCACAUUGCGCCCUCUGGUAUUCCGGAGGGCAUGCCUGUCCGAGCGUCAUUGCUGCCCUCAAGCACGGCUUGUGUGUUGGGCCCCCGUCCCCCCCUCUGCCGGGGGGACGGGCCCGAAAGGCAGCGGCGGCACCGCGUCCGGUCCUCGAGCGUAUGGGGCUUCGUCACCCGCUCUUGUAGGCCCGGCCGGCGCCAGCCGACCCCAACCCUAAAUUUUUUUCAGGUUGACCUCGGAUCAGGUAGGGAUACCCGCUGAACUUAA
rnacentral:misc_RNA from 2 species